GACGAACGCUGGCGGCGUGCUUAACACAUGCAAGUCGAACGGAGUGGCGAACGGGUGAGUAACACGUGGUUGACCUGCCCUGCACUUCGGGAUAGGCCUGUGAAACUGGAUCUAAUCCCGAAUAGUGUGGGAUGGGCCCGCGGCCUAUCAGCUUGUUGGUGGGGUAAUGGAAUACCAAGGCGGCGACGGGUAGCCGGCCUGAGAGGGUGGACGGACAAAAUGGGACUGAGACACGUCCCAGACUCAUACGGGAGGAAGCAGUGGGGAAUAGUGCACAAUGGGCGGAAGCCUGAUGCAGCGACGCCGCGUGGGGGAUGACGGCCAUCGGGUUGUAAACUCCUUGCACCAUCGACGCGGUAGAUGGAGAAGAAGCACCGACUAAAUACGUGCCAGCAGCGGCGGUAAGAC
rnacentral:rRNA from 1 species